AAACACUCGCCCAGCACUACUAGCCAAGCUUAAAACUCAAAGGACUUGGCGGUGCUUUAUAUCNAUCUAGAGGAGCCUGUUCUGUAAUCGAUAAACCCCGAUAAACCUCACCAACCUUGCCAACUCAGCCUAUAUACCGCCAUCUUCACAAACCCUAAAAAGGAAAUAAGUAAGCACAAACACAACAUGUAAAAACGUUAGGUCAAGGUGUAGCCUAUGGGUUGGAAAGAAAUGGGCUACAUUCCCUAUAAAAGGUCACCCACUACAUAAACGAACAUUAUUGUGAAACCAAUAAUUAA
rnacentral:rRNA from 1 species